CUAGCGAGUUUUUCGUCUUGCGAGUUUUUCGUCUUGCGGGGCACCACUGUACUCUGCCAGACACAAACCCGGGAAAGUUCAUGCCAGCUAUAUAUUCUCUAGAAGUGUGUGUGUGUGCGCACAGUGCACUUUAGGAGCUAGUGUAAGUGCAUCCUUUUGUCAAUAAAGAAUUAACUAUCAGCUCCUUGACCUAUUUGGCUGGGUGGGUGCAGGACAAUUUCUUUGUAUUUCUCCAGAGAAGAAGGGAUCAUUCUCAUAAAUCUCUGACAUUUCAAAUGUAUAUAGAUUUACUCAAUGUAGUAAAUUAGGUUAUAACUUCAAUUCACUGAUGAGGCAUUAAUAUCUGUGGACCAACUGCAAACUUCUCAAUUAACAAACCACAAUGAAACUCUGUACAUUAAGUUCAAAUAUGCCUUGUCUAGAGAUUUAAUUCAUACAAGGCAAAUGGGUAUAUUUUUAAAGCUCCCAUUAAUGCAUUGGGUUUGAAAAAAGAGGAAAUGGCUUUUUUGUAACUUUUGGUGCAGAAUUUCCAUGGAGGAACCCUGUGGCAAAAUGCUGCAUGUACAGGACAUCAAGGGGAAAAAAUAAAAGUCAGAAGCAAUAUUUCAGAAGCUCUCUGCCAAGAUUUUCUGUAGAACCCUGUAUAGUGCAGUAUUCUGGGUAUUUUAGGAAGAGAUCAAAGCGAGGCAGAAAGCAUAAUCUAACGGAAGGCGUUUGGGCCAUGGGAUAAAAGGAAGGAGCUUAUGAAAGAAGAUGACAAGAGUGUAGAAGAUGCCCUCAUCAGAGCUGACACAGGUUCUUAAAAAACAAACAAAGCAAGAACACAGAUUGUCACAAUCAGCCUAGCUGUCCCAUCCUGAACAGAGACAAUCUGAAUGGGUCUGAGGGCAAAUGAAUGUCUUGUGAAAUUCACAAAAGAAGCAUUAAUGUGGAGCUCUGCAGAAUCAUAACAAGCAAAAGCUGCCAUGAAGCUUAAUGUGCAUGCCAUAAAAGCAAAGGAACAGACUUUCAAAUCAAGUAUUUUAAUUGAAAAGGCACUGAAAUGCAAUCAGAAGCUGUUUAUGUGCUACAAGAAGCUUUCAAGUUCUCUCUCUGUGUGUGUUCAGCAUGCAUGUGCUUAAUAAAACAUAGAUGCCAAUGCCUGAUAUAGAUUUCCAGGUUUCUCUAAUCAAAUUAAUCUGAGCUUCGGUUAGGUAGAAUUCAUUUCACACAGCAUCUGGAAUAAAAGGCCAUUUCAGCAAGUUAAGUUAGAAAGAGUUUAUUAACUUGAAGCUGUUAUCAAAAAAAAUGGGAGCUAUGUGCUCUAGAAACAUAGAUUUGAUGCUGCACGAUGAUAGAAGACUAUCCUAUUAUUGCUUCAUGUAGCAGAGCCAUAUGUUGACUCUGGCAGCACUGAGUCUCAGUUGCUUUAGAAACAACUGGAAUAGUUUGCCACAUAGAGACACACAAGAAAAGAAGACAUGAGACACGAGUUGGAAUUAAUGGGCAACAACUUUAGAAUUGAUGGGCAACAAGUUUAGAAAGUUAGUAAGAUUGGCAACAAGCAUUUUAUCAACAAGCUAACUCCUCCUCGGUGCGGUUUCAUGUGAGAGUUGGGAAAAUGAUUCUCCCACUGUGAAACUGCCAUUCCAUCCCUGGCUCUGAGUACCAGAGCAGUCCGCUUUCUGAUCUGUCUUUCUCCUUGACGGCUUAACCUAAAUGUAUGUGGAGGCAUUGUCUGUGAUUGUCAGUUGUAGGUGCCCUGAGUCAAAGAAUGCCCAAGGAUAGGAAAAGCACUUCCUGCCAUUUAGCUGUAAGAGGUUGGUUGGAUAAGUGCCUCUUCACCAUAAAGAGGCCUCAGGGUGCUCUCAUCCAGGGUAGCCUAAUCUCCCUACUUUAGCCUGCAAUGUCAUCCAUAUUUCUUUAGAGUAUAUCCCAUUGAACCCAGCAUCACUUGCUUCUGUAUAGACAUGCAUAAGAUUCCUGUACCUGCAGCUGUACCAAAUUAAUGUUGCCUCCUAAUCAGCCAAAUGUUCUUAUUCCCUCAACAUUACCACAGCAUGGAAAGGGGGGGGGGGCUCUGAAUUCCUACUAAUCCCAUACUGUAAAUUUAGGCAAGUUUAGCCUUUUAAGACUACUGGUGUCUCUCCUCUCGUUGGAUGGCAUGUGCUGCUUGCCAUGCUCACCACAGCAGCACAAGGGCUGCAAGGUUGUGUGUGCCAAAUUUUGCCAAGGGCCUCCAAAAAGGCAUGAAGGGACCACCCUACUUUAUAAACAUCCUGAAAAGUAAGCCCUGCUAAAUUCUGUUGGACUUGCUACUGCAUCGGCAUAUCUUCAAAGAAGUAACUACCACUGAACUACCACCCUGU